rnacentral:rRNA from 1 species
UCUUGUCCAUGCCACCCUGAACAAGCCUGAUCCUGUCUGGAAGCUAAGCAGGGUUGGGUCUGGUUAGUACUUGGAUGGGAGACCACCUAGGAAGACCAGGUGCUGUAGGGA